CGGAGGGAUCAUUACCGAGUUUACAACUCCCAAACCCAAUGUGAACGUUACCAAACUGUUGCCUCGGCGGGGUCACGCCCCGGGUGCGUCGCAGCCCCGGAACCAGGCGCCCGCCGGAGGAACCAACCAAACUCUUUCUGUAGUCCCCUCGCGGACGUAUUUCUUACAGCUCUGAGCAAAAAUUCAAAAUGAAUCAAAACUUUCAACAACGGAUCUCUUGGUUCUGGCAUCGAUGAAGAACGCAGCGAAAUGCGAUAAGUAAUGUGAAUUGCAGAAUUCAGUGAAUCAUCGAAUCUUUGAACGCACAUUGCGCCCGCCAGUAUUCUGGCGGGCAUGCCUGUCCGAGCGUCAUUUCAACCCUCGAACCCCUCCGGGGGAUCGGCGUUGGGGAUCGGGACCCCUCACACGGGUGCCGGCCCCGAAAUACAGUGGCGGUCUCGCCGCAGCCUCUCCUGCGCAGUAGUUUGCACAACUCGCACCGGGAGCGCGGCGCGUCCACGUCCGUAAAACACCCAACUUUCUGAAAUGUUGACCUCGGAUCAGGUAGGAAUACCCGCUGAACUUAAGCAU
rnacentral:rRNA from 1 species